rnacentral:rRNA from 1 species
UACGUAGGGUGCAAGCGUUGUCCGGAAUUAUUGGGCGUAAAGAGCUCGUAGGCGGUCUGUCGCGUCUGCUGUGAAAACUCAGGGCUUAACCCUGAGCUUGCAGUGGGUACGGGCAGACUAGAGUGCGGUAGGGGAGACUGGAAUUCCGUGGUGAUAGCGGUGAAAUGCGCAGAUAUCAGGAGGGAACACCGGUUGGCGAAGGCGGGUCUCUGGGCCGUAACUGACGCUGGAGGAAGCGGAAAGCAUGGGGAGCGAACAGGA